rnacentral:rRNA from 1 species
GGAUCCGAUUCGCCCGCCGCGCCCCGCGCCCGUCCCGCCGCCCCCGCCCGCUCCUACGGGAGGCAGCAGUGGGGGAUAUUGCACAAUGGGGGGAACCCUGAUGCAGCGACGCCGCGUGGGUGAAGAAGCGCUCCGGCGCGUAAAGCCCUGUCAGCAGGGAAGAAGAAGGACGGUACCUGACCAAGAAGCCCCGGCUAACUACGUGCCAGCAGCCGCGGUAAUACAAUCCAUAUGACUAG